rnacentral:rRNA from 1 species
UACGUAGGGUGCAAGCGUUAUCCGGAAUUAUUGGGCGUAAAGAGCUCGUAGGCGGUUUGUCGCGUCUGCUGUGAAAACCCGAGGCUCAACCUCGGGCCUGCAGUGGAUACGGGCAGACUAGAGUGCGGUAGGGGAGAUUGGAAUUCCUGGUGUAGCGGUGGAAUGCGCAGAUAUCAGGAGGAACACCGAUGGCGAAGGCAGAUCUCUGGGCCGUAACUGACGCUGAGGAGCGAAAGCGUGGGGAGCGAACAGG